rnacentral:lncRNA from 1 species
CGGAGGGGGCGAGCGAGACCCCGAGCGGAGAGAAAGGCCCGCGGAGACAGACCGAGAGCGAGCGCGGCCGGCCGGGCGGGCCUGACGCACGGGGAAGGCCGAGGCGGCCGGGCGGGGCGGCCGCGAGGGACGGAGGCAGGAGACGGGCAGAGCGAGGGGAAGAAAGAAAGGGCGUCCGCCCGCCCGGGGAUCCCGAGGCGAAGCGCGGCGUCGGCGGGAAGGCCUUCCAGUGCACCACUGCUGCCCCACCGCCCACCCCAAGACACACGCCACUGGCUGAUUAAGGAAAGAUCUGAUUUCUCAUCAAUUGUUUAUAGAAGAUCAAUCAGAAAAGGUGAGAGACAGAGGUUUAUGGAAACGCCUCUAACAGUGGUGCGUGUAUGGACUGUGCCUUUGCCUGGAUUGGAACGCAAACUAGGUCCAAACACUGGAGCUGCAGGGCCCGAGGCCCAGGAAUUGCUGAAUGACGGAGCUGCUGGGCCAGGCUGAUGUCUUGAACAGGCCUUGGGAGCAUUUGGCUUUCUCCACAGAGACAGCACAGGAGGACUUCUCAGCCUUGAGGGACCCAGUGUGUGUCUCCUGCCAGGAGAGGCCUCCUGGUCUCCCAUUUCCAUAGUCUUCUUCAAAAAGGGUUUUCUAUCCUUCCCCCAACUUCAUCUGAACGGAAAAGAUCACUUCUCUUGUUGGAAGGAGAAAGGAGGCCUAAAACAAAGGUGUAUUUCUGCUUGUAUCACAGAUCCUAUGCCUUCUCUCUGCUCCUUCUGGCUCCCUCCUCAGCCCCUCGGAUAAGAUUUGCUCCCAGCAGAGCGUGUGCCUCUUUCCUGUCAAAACUAGCCCUGGAGAGUAGGCCAUGGAAGGGAAUUCAUGCUGAGGUAGUAAUGAUUAGUAUUAACUUUGAAGAGCAUUUGUAUUUUAUCCUGGGAAAACCUCAUUAAAAGGUGAAACUACAGCAUGAACUUAGAGGUUGUAGACAGUAGGUGGGAGCUCAUGGAAGGGCAGUGGAGCUUCUUGGCCCGUUAAAAUAACAGUCCACAAAGGUGGCAGCUUACUGCAGUUCAUCUCAGAUAUGAGAUCGUACAUGAAUAUAUGAACAUAAUUUAAUAUAAUUUUAACUGUCACCACCUAAACUGGUUGAUUCUAGCUUCUCGGAAAGCUAGAGAUUUAGAGUCAAAUGGUAGAACCAAAGGAAAUGAUCAUCAUUUGGCCUUUCAGAAGAAAGUUUCAAUCUCUUUUGGCUUUCCUCCAGGGACUCUGAACAGGACACUGAGUGGCUGAAAAGCCAAUGUUUUCAAUGUAUCAUAACUGCAAUCAGUCCUAUGUGUUAAUUUUUGGGAAAGGCUAAGUUAUAAAAACUUUCAUAUUGAGGGGAGCACCUCUAUGGCUCUGUGGGCUUUUUGUUUUCUUCUUCUUUCUUCUUCUUCUUCUUCCAAAGUUUUUAUUUAUUUAUUCAUGAGAGACACAGAGAAAGAGAGAGGCAGAGACAUAGGCA